GACGAACGCUGGCGGCGUGCUUAACACAUGCAAGUCGAACGGAAAGGCCCUGCUAUUGUGGGGUGAUGGGGUGGCGAACGGGUGAGUAAGAGGUGAGUAACCUGAUCUAGACUUUGGGAUAACUUAAGGAAAGGGGGGCUAAGACAGGAUAGGAGAUCCUGCUGGAUGGUGGGGGGUGGAAAGUUUCGGCGGGUGGGGAUGGACUCGCGGAUGAUCAGCUUGUUGGUGGGGUAGUGGCUUACCAAGGCUUUGACGGGUAGCCGGCCUGAGAGGGUGACCGGCCACAUUGGGCCUGAGAUACGGCCCAGACUCCUACGGGAGGCAGCAGUGGGGAAUAUUGCACAAUGGGCGGAAGCCUGAUGCAGCAACGCCGCGUGCGGGAUGACGGCCUUCGGGUUGUAAACCGCUUUCGCCUGUGACGAAGCGUGAGUGACGGUAAUGGGUAAAGAAGCACCGGCUAACUACGUG
rnacentral:rRNA from 1 species